rnacentral:rRNA from 1 species
AAUGAACGCUGGCGGCGUGGAUUAGGCAUGCAAGUCGAACGCGAAAGUGGCCGCAAGGCUGCGAGUAGAGUGGCGAAAGGGUGAGUAAUGCUUGGAUGACCUACCCUCGAGACGGGGAUAACAGUUCGAAAGGACUGCUAAUACCCGAUAGUCCCUCCUGGAUACGUCCAGAAGGGUAAACGGUUGAUUCCGCUCGUGGAGGGGUCCAAGUCCUAUCAGCUAGUUGGGAGGUACGCUCACCAAGCUACGACGGGUAGCCGCCUGAGGAGGGCGGACCGGCCACACUGACACUGACAGUAC